GGACUGGAACCCCCGCGUGUAGUAGAGCAUGUUCGCCCAGCCCAGGGCCAUGGCCAGCACGAGGCAGGCGAGGUACUCUUUGCAGAGCCCCACAUUGAAGGUGUUCAGAAUAUACCUGCUGAUUCGUCGGUUGGAUGGAUGAACGGGUAGAUCGACUGACAAACAGAUGGAAAGACGGUUGGAUGAAGGAUGGAAGGACAGUGGCCUCACUGACUUCCCAGCUAUGCCUCCUCCAGAAAGGCCUCCCUGAUUGCUCAAACUGUGUACUCCCUGACACUUAUUUGGGACCAGGUUUGGGGGAAGAGGGGAUUCUAAGCCUGACCAUAUGGAACCAAUAGAAGGAGUUGGGGGGAAACAAGAUGGAGAAGAUCUACACCCCCCCCCAACCCUGCCCAGGAUUAUGUGGCCAGGAGACCCCCACCACAAGGUCAGCUGGGAACAUGUGGCCCCAGCACCCACCCCAGGCCCCGCCCACUAAGGCUAAGGAAUGGGGGCUGCAGACAUGUCUGGCUAGUAGCAAGGGGUCUUC